GUGCUCAAAGUAUGUCGGAAGAUAUAUCCGGACUGGAUUUCUAAUCCGGAUGUCGCAGGUUCGAGUCCUGCCGGGCGCGCCA
rnacentral:tRNA from 1 species